UUUACGCUGAUAAUGAGCAAAUUCCAAUUAACGCGCAUAACGUUAAUUAAAAUACCUCAUGGUGCAAACUUUAACUUCGUUUGUUUAAAUCCAUGUUUGCUUGACUCAAAUAUUCUAUUUUCGGAAUGAGUAUUAUUGUGGCUUCAUUUUUUAAACAACGACAACUAAUUUGAAACUCUGAUACCGGGAACCAAUUUUAAGCAAAGUCCGCGACACGGUUUGAGAUUCUGAAGCACUCGAAAGAUUUGUAUCUGAGAUCAGCGAAGCCUCUUGGAAUGACCCGGUUUUGAAUAGGCAUUCAAUUGAAGUGGAUACAAGUUGUUAUUGCUGUAAUCUAAUUGAGAAGAGACAAGAGAAAUAACGAUCCGCGUAGUCUUAACUCUUGUUCUUAAGUCAACAGUUGGGAGGGUUAGUUGACGUGAUGGUUUUGUUUGAGAGGCAGUUAAUUUUUCUUUGCCUUUUUGUGCACUGCAUGCUAUGGCGUUCAACUUUCAAUAGAAAAUACUGUACCAUAACGUUAGCAAAGAAAAAAGACGUCUUUCAACACUUAAAUUAUCUAUUGUGAGGCGAUUGCUUAAGGUUCAAGAAGGAAAGCAUGACUUGACCUCGGCUUUUUGUUUUAUAAUAAUACGAGGAUAUAAAACACGAGCACGACUAACAACAGAGCGUAAAGGCUGUUUACAAGUUCUGCUCUAGUAGGUUUUCUUGCGUAAAAUCGAGAAAUACAUUCCUUGCAAAAUACUUUUAUGGAUGACAAGAAAGAUUUAACCGUUUUAUUCUUUUUCAUACCGAUCUUUUACUUCGAAAUGCGAUUCGACUUAACGGGAAUCCUACAAUAUAACUCCGGUGAAUCACGGUCCAGAAUGGCUACGGAUUAAAUAUUUAGAGGCUUUCUCUUUUGCAGUUUGUCGUGGACGCCGGUCGGUAGACUCAAUGCAAGGUUCCCGUAUAGACACAAUAUUCACCGAUGCUGGCGGGCAUUAUGUGUCGUAUCGAUCAGGGUCAUCAAAGAGAACCGACAUCGGCAAGCACAAGUUUGGCCAUUGGCGAACAGCACAGCACAAAAGGUUAUGCUCUGCUGAGCAGGUAACCCAAGUCAAACGUAACCUCAAAAGCAAAGUUUUUACUGCAAAGUUAACUGAAGAGAAGCAAAGCUGGAACAAAUUUAAUGGAACGAUUUGAUGAGAGGUUUUACAGAUAUCAAAAGUACAUUCGGAAAUAACUUUUACGUAUUUUUUGUAUGAGAUUAACGUUGCCAAUCAUGCAUCAUACAGCCUAAAGGCAACCAAUAACACCAUCGAGACAUGAAUACUUAAGAAAGAGCCAGAGCUAACUUAGCCUAAAAAUUACACUUGACAAUCACUCUCUACAUUCGCAACGAAAUGGAAAAAAAAGUAAAGUAACUCUCUUUCACUUGUUUAAUGUGUUGCACACUCUCGCGCAUGUACAUGCCACAGAGUCGUUAUCAUAAUAACCGUACAACACAAUCUGAAUUGAAACUUCAAUAACUUUCUGGUUCUGCUAACCUCAUUCAACCCAAGUAUACGUGGCAUCCGGAAAUGACUUACGGGGGAGAGGAAACCAGAAACGACAAAAUUACGUAAGAUUCUAAUCGCCAUUUCCCCCAACCGGUUAAGAGUAAGCCCUGUGAAUUACCGGUGUUCACAAAAUGGACUCAUUCUCCCAGCAUCCGCUCGAGACGUGCCAUAACGUCUAUGGAAGCACGUCUCUCAAGCUGCGAGCCCUUGUCAUGAUCUAUCGGCCUACACUUUUUAUGUGCCAUUAAUUACAACCGACGCCGGCAUCGUGCCAAGUGAGUGCGCACCAGGGAAUGUAGUUAAGAGUACUUUUCAAGUAGGAAGUUGUUCAGUGUGGCCUGAUUUAUGGACACAAAUCAGAAAAUAAAAUAGAAGGGGGUAGAAGGGGGCGUGUGAGUUGGGAGUACCUUUCAAGUAGGAGGCUGUUUAGUGUGGCCUAAUUUACAGACAAAAAUCUAAAAAUAAAAUAAAAGGAAAAUAAUACGUACCGGGGAGUAGUUAGGAAUACACAGGGUAGUAUUCAAUGUGACCCAAGUUGGCCGGAUUUAUGCAAAAAACUGAAAAUGGAAUAGAAAUGGGCGUGUGUAGAUGUAGGCAGAGUACCUAUUACCAAGUAAGAGUUUCAGUGUUACUCUAAAUAAAUGACAGGUUGUUGUUCAGUGUAAGUUGACUUCUCUUCCCGCUCAAUUCUGUUUUUAACCAAAUGUAGACAACCAUACUCUAGCUUGUUGAUUACAUACACCUAUUGCGGUUAUAAAUUCAUGUACAAGAACGAAGUACGCUAAUGUAAAUAGGGUUAGAGUAAGGCUUACGGUUAGUAGCGUUAUCAAGUUGGUGUUCUCGGACAUAAAUUCACAACCACUAUUGCUAGUGUUAGACAUGUAAUUGUGGAAUAUCCAUGCCGUAGCCCGCGUUGCCUUAUGGGUGUUAUACAUAGAUCAGGCAAACCUAAGUAAAAGAGCUUUAGUACGUUUAUAAUUUCUUGUUCUUAAAAUUUAUAUACAGGGAUUUUAAAGGCACAUUAAGCAAGUCUAUAUAUGACACUACAGCGCGAGCUACGAGAUGCACAUUCCAAAACGCUUUAUGUUACAAUAAUUUAUACAUAUAAAAGGGUGAUUAAAACGGUCCUUUGAAAGACGCUGCCCUGUGCUUAAAUUGUAUCCAAGAUCAGAUUACUAUUAGUAAUCAGGAGAACAUCAGGAAGAAAUUCAUUACAAACAAACGCACAUGCUGUAGUAGGAAUAUCAAUGAUUGUUUUCAGCCAGCAGGAUAGCUAGCGAUACAACUUCAUUCUUUUCGUCUAGUUAGUGUACCUUAAUAAAAUUAACAAAAAAUAUUAAUCAAUCAAUAAAAAGUUCUCAAAUGACUAAAAAUUUGCUUGAUUGUGAGGGCAAAAGUCCGAAGUCUUUGUAACACGCCCGGGUAACAUAUUUAGAUUUACUAGCUGUGCACCAAAAAUGAUAUGAAAAAAAGACAAUCAUGAGGAUUCGCGCUGCUGCGUUUGUAUACUCCAUUACGCUAUUAUUUUAUAAGAACGUCUUAUUUUCAGUUGACGCUGAGUCGUUCUAAUUUUUUGGGCAUUUUAAGGCUAAAAACAUUUAAGAGUUUUCCUAAAUUUCAACUUGAGUGAUUAUUGCAUCCUGAAAUAUACACAACAGCGUUUGUAUAUAAGGUUAUGAUACUAAUAAAGUAUUAAAAACAGAAUUUUACAUAUGAUAAAUUUCACAUGAAAA